rnacentral:rRNA from 1 species
CCUACGGGAGGCAGCAGUGAGGAAUAUUGGUCAAUGGGCGGGAGCCUGAACCAGCCAAGCCGCGUGAGGGAAGAAGGUACAGCGUAUCGUAAACCUCUUUUGUCAGGGAACAAAGGCGGGGACUAGUCCCCGGAUGAGGGUACCUGGAGAAAAAGCAUCGGCUAACUCCGUGCCAGCAGCCGCGGUAAUACGGAGGAUGCGAGCGUUAUCCGGAUUUAUUGGGUUUAAAGGGUGCGCGGGCGGUCUGUUAAGUCAGCGGUCAAAGCCCGGGGCUCAACCCCGGCCCGCCGUUGAAACUGGCAGUCUCGAGUUGGAGAGAAGUAUGCGGAAUGCGCGGUGUAGCGGUGAAAUGCAUAGAUAUCGCGCAGAACUCCGAUUGCGAAGGCAGCAUGCCGGCUCCACACUGACGCUGAGGCACGAAAGCGUGGGUAUCGAACAGGAUUAGAUACCCUUGUAGUC